rnacentral:rRNA from 1 species
AGUGAACGCUGGCGGUAGGCCUAACACAUGCAAGUCGAACGGCAGCACAGUAAGAGCUUGCUCUUACGGGUGGCGAGUGGCGGACGGGUGAGGAAUACAUCGGAAUCUACUUUUUCGUGGGGGAUAACGUAGGGAAACUUACGCUAAUACCGCAUACGACCUACGGGCGAAAGCAGGGGAUCUUCGGACCUUGCGCGAUUGAAUGAGCCGAUGUCGGAUUAGCUAGUUGGCGGGGUAAAGGCCCACCAAGGCGACGAUCCGUAGCUGGUCUGAGAGGAUGAUCAGCCACACUGGAACUGAGACACGGUCCAGGCUCCUACGGGAGGCAGCAGUGGGGAAUAUUGGACAAUGGGCGCAAGCCUGAUCCAGCCAUACCGCGUGGGUGAAGAAGGCCUUCGGGUUGUAAAGCCCUUUUGUUGGGAAAGAAAAGCAGCAGAUUAAUACCCCGCUGUUCUGACGGUACCCAAAGAAUAAGCACCGGCUAACUUCGUG